UACAGAGGAUGCAAGCGUUAUCCGGAAUGAUUGGGCGUAAAGCGUCUGUAGGUGGCUUUUUAAGUCCGCCGUCAAAUCCCAGGGCUCAACUCUGGACAGGCGGUGGAAACUACCAAGCUGGAGUACGGUAGGGGCAGAGGGAAUUUCCGGUGGAGCGGUGAAAUGCGUAGAGAUGGGGGAGAACACUCGUGGCGAAGGCGGCCAGCUAGACCAGUUCUGACACUGAGGCGCGACAGCGUGGGGAGCAAACAGG
rnacentral:rRNA from 1 species